GUGCUCGCUUCAGCAGCACAUAUUCUAAAAUUGGAAGGAUACAGAGAAGAUUAGCACGGUCCCUAAGCAAAGAUGACACGCAAAUUUGUGAAGUGUGCCAUAUUUUU
ensembl:snRNA U6 U6 spliceosomal RNA